rnacentral:rRNA from 1 species
AGUUUGAUCCUGGCUCAGGAUGAACGCUGGCGGUCUGCUUAACACAUGCAAGUCGAACGGGCUCUUCGGAGUUAGUGGCGGACGGGUGAGUAACGCGUGAGAAUCUGCCUUCAGGUUGGGGACAACAGUUGGAAACGACUGCUAAUACCCAAUGUGCCGAGAGGUGAAAGCUUUAGUGCCUGAAGAUGAGCUCGCGUCUGAUUAGCUAGUUGGUGGGGUAAUAGCUUACCAAGGCGACGAUCAGUAGCUGGUCUGAGAGGAUGAUCAGCCACACUGGGACUGAGACACGGCCCAGACUCCUACGGGAGGCAGCAGUGGGGAAUUUUCCGCAAUGGGCGCAAGCCUGACGGAGCAAGACCGCGUGAGGGAGGAAGGCUCUUGGGUUGUAAACCUCUUUUAUCAGGGAAGAAGAUCUGACGGUACCUGAUGAAUCAGCAUCGGCUAACUCCGUGCCAGCAGCCGCGGUAAUACGGAGGAUGCAAGCGUUAUCCGGAUUUAUUGGGCGUAAAGCGUCCGCAGGUGGUUUUUCAAGUCUGCUGUUAAAGCGCGAGGCUUAACCUCGUAAAGGCAGUGGAAACUGAGAGACUAGAGUAUGGUAGGGGUUGCGGGAAUUCCCAGUGUAGCGGUGAAAUGCGUAGAUAUUGGGAAGAACACCAGCGGCGAAAGCGCGCAACUGGGCCAUUACUG